CACGCCCUGAAUGAUUUAAUAGCUGCGCUAAAAGUCCGCGGUGAGGCUUGGAAGGUGCCGCGAGGCUUCAUGGCUACCUCCGGGACGCUGAGCACUUUCCGUCUCCCGCCGUUGCCCACGAUUCGAGAAAUCAUUAAAUUAUUCAGGCUGCAAGCAGCGAAACAGCUCUCCCAGAAUUUUCUCCUGGACUUGAAGCUGACAGAUAAAAUUGUAAGGAAAGCUGGGAAUCUGACAGAUGCUUAUGUUUAUGAAGUGGGCCCUGGGCCAGGGGGAAUCACAAGAUCCAUUCUCAAUGCCAACGUUGCUGAACUUUUGGUGGUUGAAAAGGAUAGUCGAUUUAUUCCUGGAUUACAGAUGCUUUCUGAUGCAGCACCUGGAAAACUGAAAAUUGUCCAUGGAGAUGUGUUGACAUUUAAGAUAGAAAGGGCUUUUCCAGAAAGUCUUAAAAGACAGUGGGAAGAUGAUCCUCCAAAUGUACAUAUUAUUGGAAAUCUGCCUUUUAAUGUAUCAACUCCGCUGAUUAUCAAGUGGCUUGAAAAUGUUUCUUGUAGAGAUGGUCCUUUUGUUUAUGGCAGAACCCGGAUGACUUUGACUUUUCAAAAGGAAGUGGCAGAGAGACUGACAGCCAAUACAGGAAGCAAACAGCGUAGUCGCCUUUCUGUUAUGGCCCAGUACCUCUGCGAUGUGCAGCACAUCUUGACAAUUCCAGGUCAGGCUUUUGUCCCUAAACCAGAGGUGGACGUGGGCGUGGUGCGCUUCACUCCCCUGGUGCGGCCCCGGAUAGAGCAGCCCUUCAAGCUGGUGGAGAAGGUCGUUGAGAAUGCCUUUCAGUUCCGGAGGAAAUACUGCUAUCGCGGGCUCGGAAUGUUAUUCCCUGAAAUUCAGCGUGUGGAAAGCACUGAAAAACUGUUGGAGUUGGCAGAUGUGGACCCUACCCUUCAACCCAGCCAGCUCUCUGUUUCACAUUUUAAGAGCCUGUGUGAUGUAUACCAAAAAAUGUGUGAUGAAGACCCACACCUCUUUGCUUAUAAUUUCAGAGAAGAACUCAAAAAAAAGAAAAGCAAAAAUCAGGGAGAAGAGGAUGCCAAGGAGAGAGAGAGACUACAGCAGCAUAUCGAAUGUUGAUUUCCACGAUGUUGAGCUGCUCAGAUGCGUACUCAUUUGUCUUCCAUAGAAGGACAAUAAAAAUACGAUUACCAGAUCGACUUAUUUCCCUUUUACUGUACAGUUUGGUAGAGAAAAUAAAUAUAAUCAAAUAAGCUACAGUACAAGCUUUCUUUUAAUAUAUAUACUGCAUAGGUAGGACAUGUUCAGUAUAAACAGCAUCUGUUACAACCUUACAAAAAUGAAAUAUCUGCACGUUGUGCCCCUCACCCACAUUAAAAUAAAUAUGCUUUAAAUAAAGCAAAAACUAACAGCUCAAAGAAAAUGCCCAGAGGAUUGGAAAAAACAAUGACCUUUUUAAAAACUAUUUAUUAAUCACAACUCCCCCCCCGUUACUUUUUCCACAUAAAUUAAAAUAGAUUGGAAUUUUAAGGAUCCUAAGUCAUUCUGAUACCUGCUCAAAAGGGAUAUAAACUAAGUAAUUUACAGAUUCUUACAGAUUCUGAUCAGUUUAAUCUAGUUUUCUGAUCUACAAUAAAUUAAAAUAACUUAAAUCUUUACAACUAUUUUGUGGGAAAAUGUACGCUGCACAAAACCCAAUAAUGAAUAGUUUUUCUGGAAUUUCCACUUGACCACCAGUUGAAAAGUAAAGCAAGCAAUGAACCCAUAUCUGGAUUGAAACUGCACUACAACUUGCCGUGGCUCUCUGUUUCAUAAAAACACUCCUCGCUGACCACCGAAGUUAAACUCUGGACACUGAACUCUCGCUGCAGAACAGAACUGAGAUCAAGGUUGACAUUUUCAGACUGACUGUCAAGGGACUGAUGCCGAAUCUGUGCCUUCAGCAAAGUUCCCCUGUCCCGUUUGGUGCUGUUCGCUUUCCGUUUGAUGGCGCAGAAGUGCCCCCGCACCAGUUUGGGCUGCUCCCCCUUCGGCCGGCCCUCCGUGCCAGGCUGCUGGUCGGCUGGCUUCGCGUCAGGGUCGUCGGAGAUCCUCAGCCUCUGGAACUGAAUUUCUAUGUCUUUGGUAGGGCUGCCCUGUUUGAGAGUCUGAUGGUAGUCCUCGUCGUCGUCACUCAGAAUGUCACUCUCCUUGAUGAGACUGUCUGACAGAUCAGCCAGGCCCGGCGGAGGGUGUUGCAGGGGGUCCUGCCUGCUCCCGCCCGGGGGGCAGCCGCUGCUCUGCGUGCUGCUGCUCAGGCUGCACUCGUCCGAGUCCAGGGAGCUGCCCUUGCCGGGCUCGCCGGGCCACUCGCUGCUGGAGGAAUUCUUGAGGACUUUUAAGGACCUGGAGGAAGCUGCAAUGAGAAAAGUGCGUUUCCCCCUCAUGAUUGAGAAACAGGCGCCACAAUGCAUAAGUUUUGCGAUGUACGUUCUAAGAUGUAACAUCUUAAUUCAGAUUUCAUCCUCUCACUUCUAUGACCAACUAUCCUGGAACCUGGGAAAAAACAUGCAGAUACUGCAAGUGUGGACAUUUUUUACUAUGUUUAUUUGAAAUUUUAUGUUGGAGGAUUGGGCAUUUCUAGAUGACCUAUUACCAGAGCUCGAUUGUUUAGACAGAACAAGCUAUAAACUAUUACAAAGGUUAGGAUUCUUAUUUUGCCAAUGGAUAAAUGAAAAGUUACUAGUAAAAUCUAGGUCCCUUUCUUUCACUAAAGUACUCUGAAAUUGGACAACCAAGAUUAUACCGUAUUUCUACGCCUACCUGCUCACCUUGUUUAUUUCCCUUGCUGCUCCAUGAAAAGUAGAAAAAUGCCCUUCGUCACUCAUGAGAACUCUCUCUGCUGGAAUUUCUAUCCAGCUUUCAGAGAUUUAAUAAUAAUUUAAUCAUUUGUGUGUUUUUAAUUCCUUUCUCUUGGGUUGAAGGGAAAAGGGGAGCUCUCAGCUGUGAUGUUUUUGAUGGCUAUGGCGUAUUUUGGCAAUAGAGGAAAAAAAUAGAAAAUAUACGGUGAAUUUGAAGAGAGAAAACAAUUUGGAAACAAUUUGAAAAAUGACAAACAAGACCAAAGAUAUUAAAACAGUUAAUACAGAAAGAGGAUUUAAACUGAAAUUUUAAAAGCAGGAAAUUUAAAAUUUAAAAGCAGGCAGAAAGUUUAAGAAAAGCAUGAUUUGGAGUGUUUACUUGCUGACUUAAUUGACUGGGUAAGAAUUAAUAUAAGUUUUCUUAUCUUAAUUCAUCAAGUAGUGGCUUUCUAGAUGCCUGGAGCUGUUCUGAGCACUGGAGUACUCCAGUGAACUAAGCUAAGCCCUGGGACUCCUGCACAUCUCGGUGGAAGAAAGAAAUAAGCUGGUAAAGAGACUAUGUGGCUGAACUAAGACGGAUGUUUUAAUAGAACCAAGAAGCUCCAAGACCCCACUAUGCCAGCACAGGAAGACAGAAAUGGAUUCAACCAGGAAACUGCAGAGUGCAUCAGAAGUUCCCCCAUGGAAAGUUCUGUUACCUGUAUCAUAAAAACAGGAGAUGAAGACAUGCAGACCCCAGGGGUAUUUUAUUACCGGGAGACCACCUAGCUUUCACAUGCAGAGAACAAAUCACUUUCUCUGAUUCAAACACAGACCCCUUUAAGGGAUAUUCUACUUCCUAGCGAACUGAGGAGCUUGGUGUAUUUGACAAAUUGUAUCUUCGGCCCGUAAUUUCUGAGGUUACAAAAGACACAUGAGCGUGGAUUAUAAAGCAGAACGUGUGCCUGGGAGCUGGGCUGUGGUGCGGGGCUCUGCCCUGAAAUCGCCACAAGGUGGAGCCUCACCCAACGGACUGGUCGGCAGCACUGCGUUACUAACCAAGAGACCCAAAGUGAUGGAUUUCAUCUCUCUGAGCUCAAAUAUGUUCCUUGAAAAAUGAAAAUGGAAUCGUCCCGCCAGAGGGGCUUGGGGCUCCUCCGAUGACACAAUUUCGCCCCAGUAUCCUGCCCAUCUAAAGGGAUGGCCCUAUACCUAGCUAUUUUCACAGACUAAAAUUACAUCUAAGCUUAGUAACUGUAGUACUGAGACGUGUCUGAGAACGUGAGGAAGUGGGGAGGAGAAGCAGCGGCCUCGGAGGCUUAGCAGGGGCGGCGGUCACAGCCCACCCGCAGCCAGCUCUCCUACCUGUCAGGUGGUAGUGCUCCUCGCUCUCGCGGUCUGUCAGCGACACAAGCUCCUUGAGCAGCAGGGGGUACUUGAGCACCCUCUGAACCGGCUUGAUGAGGUAGGACUCCAGGGUGGAGGAAUGCUGCUUGGUGGGAUUCCGGGCAUCCAGAAACGCCUUGAAGGCUUUAUCGGUUUUAGCUACAAGCAGGUGGAUAAAAGACCCUUAGAAGAGCACAGCAGGAUAAAUUGAACCCGACUUCACUUAAUUUUUAAUGGAAUCCUAGAUCAUCCACUUCUGUGGUCCUCCUAAUGCCAUUCUUUAUAAAAAUCCAAAUUCUUCAGUGGGUCAGGCACCCAGCUGUCACAGCUCGGGGGCAAAUCCAUGAAGAAAGGGCUUAGGAAGCUGUCUAAAUAGUACAGUCCGUACACCAAAGAGGAACACCAAGCUGAAAUGCAGGAAUGUCUGACUUUAAAGGCAUAUUCACAUGCAAACCCAUGAGAGAUUGUUACAGGUACCUAAAAAGUGUGUUUCAACCAAUUCAUAAAGCCACAAAACAGUAUUAUCCAGACCGUACACCUACCUUCAAAAGAAUCCGAUAGCAAAAUAGUAAUUCUUACCCCCCCGUCCUCGCACAGAUUUGUUAUUCUAUACACUAGGGGCUAUCUUUUCUUUUAAAAUAAAUUGAUAAGCACUGCAGCCUUCACCCCCACACCUCUGAGCCGUCUAUUCCCCCAGAUGCCAUGGGCAGGGAAAGCUACCUGUGUCCAGUGUGUGACACUGUGAAGGGGACACACGGGAACCCAACCCCAUUCAGUUUUGAGAAUGCCAACGGAUGUACCAGUUACUGCUUUGGAUUCCACCUGCUGAUACUGGUUGACCAUCUGUGUGAAAUUCAGCCAGUUUGAAUGAAAUGACACCCUUAUUUGGGGUUUUGUCACAAAGGCAAAAAUCUACAACUUCUAGGAGACAUGGUACCAUUUUGAAUGUGACCAGCAAAGUGGAUGGUGAGAUGAUCGUUCAGAACUGAGCAGAGCACUGCGUGCUUUACUUUUACUGUCAGCAGCAGCUGUUCCUGGAGGAAACGCCGACGGAGUCCGAUCUCUGUUUAAACAAGUACAGGACACAGAUUCUGGCUGGGGCUUCCUCACCUGAAGCACUUCAGGACUCCACUGCUUAACCCUGAGCCCGUGCUCCUAGGAUGCUAUGAAGAUCGGCUUUAAGCCAUUGCAGAACCGCAUGCGCGGAACCGGCUAACGGAGUGUCGGAGGAAACUUCCAUGCCUUCCGUGAUACUGCGGGAGACUGCUGCCGGUUCUGAGAGAGGACACUGAGGGCAACCUUCAGGUCCUGUCCAACGCCACCGAGAAGCGUAUCAUGACAGACAGAGGAAGCCGCCUGGAGUUCACCUCGGCUGCCACCCGUUGAUGCAACUAAAAGAGUUCAAAUAUAGACCUCUCCCUGGACACUGGCCACUGUCCCAGAGGAGACGGUUCCCUGGCUUCGCGGGAGCUGCGUGAGGCCAGGUGUAAUUCCGAAGGCAUUCGAGUGCGGGGGGAGUCAUUUUUACCCCAGAAACGUAUGACAUUAGAGCAGCGGAGGCUUCGGCAGCUUUGGGUCUUGUCGCCCGGCUCCCAUGACAGAACGAGAGGGCACAGGCGCCUGGUAACCCUUUCUGGAGACGGCUCGGCUGAACGUAAGGACUGCACGGAUUUCCCGCAGACGCCUGCCAGGGUCGGAGCCGCCUGUCUGCCGCGCUGCGUGCGGACCGCGUCCCUGCCACUGGCGACCUUCCGUCCUGCGCCGGCCUCCUGACCUCCCCGCCUCUUCUCCCCGCCACCACAAAUGCGAAUCCCGAAGGACGGGACAGAAACACUUCUGAGACAGACAGACUGGAGAAUGUUAACCCUCCGGUGUGAGGCCCAGAGCACAGCCUCCAGGAACAGACCGGCUGCAGCUACAGCAGCCGUCCGCGCCAGGGCGCAACACGAACAGACCAAACCACAGUGCAUGUGAUGGGCACGGCGGCCCAAAGCGCCCUACAACACGCGUGCAGCUGCUCAGGGUCACGGCUGUCAUCACAUCCUCCAGUACACGGCUGACCGGCCCGUGACGCCACCGGGCCUCCAGGCCACCUGCUGCGGGGCGGCCCCGGCGCCGUGUCGGAUGUGCGAGCCAAAGGGAAGAGGGGGGAGGGCGACCCCGCGGGUCUACCUGGGCUCCAAAAAAAUGGCAGGCUUCAGUUAAAGCCAAUAAAAGAUGAUGGAAAUGUGGAGAUAUGAAAGGUACUUCAGGGACAGGAUGUGGGCUGUUAACUGUCAGUGUUUGCCUGGUUCCAUCAAAAAGGCCUGAACUUUAGUUAACACACUGCUGUGGUUCCUCGGGCCUAAGAAGCUUAACGAGAAAGGAAGAAAACCGCAUACGUUCUUUCCUGUCCCCAUCCAGCGUCUUAGGGUUCCUGGUUUUUAGAUCAAGGAAUUUGAAAAAAAAAAAAAAAAAAAAAGAAUCCAGAGGUAAUUUAACAGCAGAGUGACAUAUGGCAGAGAAACAUCUCUGCUCUUAGGACACAUGUUCACUCUUACCAGUAAACUGAAAUACACUAAGAAUUUUUUCUUUAAUGUCUGUCAAUGUAAAGGUCAGGAACAGAGCAUGAGCCAUUAAAACUGCACUUAUCCCUACUUAUUAAAUGCAAAUUUACUGUUAACAACUAAAAAAAAAAAAAAAAA